UACGUAGGGUGCAAGCGUUGUCCGGAAUUAUUGGGCGUAAAGAGCUCGUAGGCGGUUUGUCGCGUCUGCUGUGAAAACUCAGGGCUUAACUCUGAGCUUGCAGUGGGUACGGGCAGACUAGAGUGCGGUAGGGGAGACUGGAAUUCCUGGUGUAGCGGUGAAAUGCGCAGAUAUCGGGAAGAACACCCGUGGCGAAGGCGGUUCUCUGGGACGGUACUGACGCUGAGACGCGAAAGCGUGGGGAGCGAACAGG
rnacentral:rRNA from 1 species